UAUCAGUUUUUGUCUUGCCUCCAGUUUGUCAUGUACCUGAAACAGUUUUACAAAUCAAACACUGGAUAACUGGAGUUGUUCUGUCCUAUCUUUUAUUUUUUAGCUAAUCAAACGCACCCAAUAUCUCUUAUUCUGUAAAAGGCAAUUGUGUAUUUUAGCAUUCUCUGAGGCCCUGAGCAAGAUGGAUUGUCUUACUGAAUUGGGAAAGGAAGCUGUCACAAAAUUGGGAGAAUUGGUUGUGGAGUCAAUCAUGAAGCAUUUCAAAUAUUUGACACAACACAAAAAAAUCACAACAAAUUUGGAGGAAGAACUUGAGAGGUUGAAAAUGAUAAAACAAGCAUUGCAAACAAGGGUUGAAACUGAAAGAAGGAAAGGAUAUGAAAUUGCACCUAAUAUGCAAAAAUGGGUCUAUGAUGUGACAACAAUUGAAGAUCAGUUGCAAAAGUGGCUCUCUGAUGAAAAUAGAGUUAAAAAUAGCAAAAAAUGCUUUGGUUGACAAUGCUCAAAUUUAGCAUUUAAUUAUUCAUUGGGAAAGGAAGCCACUAAAAGCCUUGAAAAUAUUACAAGCAUGAAGGAAGAAGAAAACAAAUUUCAAGUUAUUUCAUACCCUAAACCUCCAUUAACACUUGGAUCUACCUAUACAAAAAAUAUCAAGAGCUUAUUGUCUAGGGAGAAGAUUAUAAAGAGGUCAUAGAGAAACUCAAGGAUGAUCAAGUCAAUAUGAUUAGCAUUUGUGGGAUGGGCGGAGUGGGAAAAACCACAAUGUGCAAUGGCAGUGGUCGUCUCCCAAUAUAUAAAUUAUGAGAAGGUCCAAAUUCAAAUUGCAGAGGUUUUGGGCAUGGAAUUGAAAAAGGUCAGCGAGAAAGGAAGAGCCAUGCAAUUACAUGAGAGACUGAUGAGAAAAGAUAAAAAGGUUCUAAUUGUCCUUGAUGAUGUGUGGGAUAUUCUAGACUUUGAGUGUAUUGGACUUCCUUAUCUAGAACAUGAGAAAUAUUGCAAAAUAUUGCUCACAUCACGGGAUGAAAAAGUGUGCCAAAAUAUGGGAUGAAAACUCAAUUUUCAAGUACCUCUGUUGAAAGAGGAUGAAGCUUGGUAUCUGUUUCGAGAGCUGUGAGGGGAAGUUGUAGAUAGAAAUGAUAUCAAUCCAAUAGCAAAAGAGGUUGCAAAGGAAUGUGGCGGCUUACCGCUUGCAAUUGCGACAAUUGGAAGAGCACUGAGCAAUGAAGGGAAGUCUGCAUGGGAAGAUGCACUAAGACAAUUAAACGACGUUCAAUCAUCUUCCUCCUUGGGUGUUGGAAAACAUAUCUACCCCCGGAUUGAGCUUAGUUUAAAGUUUUUGGGCAAUAAAGAACAUAAGCUCUUGCUUAUGCUUUGUGGAUUAUUUCCAGAAGACUUUGACAUUCCUAUUGAAAGUUUAUUGUAUCAUGCUUUUGGCUUGGGAUUGUUCAAAUACAUUAAUGCAUCAUUGAAAGCAAGAAACCGAGUGCAUACAUUGGUGGAAGAUCUAAGACGAAAGUUCUUGUUGUUGGACAGCAAUGUGCUGUGAAGAUGCACGAUAUUGUGCGCAAUGUUGUUAUAUCUAUAGCAUUUAAAAAUGCAGAAGAUAAAUUUAUGGUACAAUACACCUUUAAGAGUCUAAAAGAAGAUAAAUUGAGCGAGAUCAACGCAAUAUCACUUAUUUUGGAUGAUACAAAAGUGUUAGAAAAUGGCUUACACUGUCCGACGCUUAAACUUUUACAAGUAAGUACAAAAGGCAAGAAACCAUUGUCUUGGCCUGAACUUUUCUUCCAAGGCAUGAGUGCACUUAAAGUUUUAUCCUUACAAAAUUUGUGCAUUCCAAAACUGCCAUAUUUAUCCCAAGCUUCACUCAAUCUCCACACGUUGCAAGUGGAACAUUGUGAUGUUGGAGAUAUAUCUAUAAUUGGUAAGGAACUUAAACACCUAGAAGUCCUAAGUUUUGCAGAUUCUAAUAUUAAAGAGCUCCCAUUUGAAAUAGGAAAUCUGGGCAGUCUAAGAUUAUUGGAUUUGUCAAAUUGCAACGAUCUUGUCAUCAUUUCUGAUAAUGUCUUGAUAAGAUUGUCUCGGUUGGAAGAAAUUUACUUUAGAAUGGACAAUUUUCCUUGGAAGAAAAAUGAAGCUUCACUGAACGAGUUGAAAAAGAUAUCUCAUCAGCUAAAGGUUGUUGAGAUGAAAGUUGGAGGGGCUGAAAUUUUAGUCAAGGAUUUGGUUUUCAACAACUUGCAAAAGUUUUGGAUUUAUGUGGAUCUUUAUAGUGAUUUUCAGCACUCUGCAUAUUUGGAGUCAAAUUUAUUGCAAGUAUUGAUUAUCAAUCUAUUAAUAGCAUAUUGAUGAUCUCACAAUUGAUUAAGAAAUGUGAAAUCCUUGCAAUAAGAAAGGUGAAAAGCUUGAAAAAUGUUCUGACACAACUGUCAGCUGAUUGUCCAAUUCCAUACUUGAAAGAUUUAAGGGUUGAUUCAUGUCCUGAUCUCCAGCAUCUGAUAGAUUGUAGUGUUCGUUGCAAUGACUUUCCACAAAUCCAUUCAUUGUCUUUUAAAAAACUUCAGAAUUUGAAAGAGAUGUGUUAUACACCUAAUAACCAUGAGGUCAAGGGAAUGAUAAUUGACUUCUCAUAUUUUGUGAAAUUGGAAUUAAUAGACCUCCCAAGCUGUAUUGGCUUUAACAAUGCAAUGAAUUUUAAAGAGCUCAAUCAAGGUGAAUAAGUGGGGUGUCCGACAUUCGAACUCCAACAUGUAUUCACUUUUCUGUCAUUGCAAGAGAAAUCACAAAUCUUGAGAAACUGGAAGUUAAAUCUUGUGCGUUGAUUGAGAAUAUAAUUGAAUGGAGUAGAGAUGAAGAAGAUGAAAAUAAAGGGCAUGUGGCAACUAUUAGCUUCAAUAAACUUGAUUGUGUAUCACUUUCAAGCCUUCCAAAGCUUGUGAGUAUUUGUUCAGAUUCACUUUGGUUAGAAUGUCCAUCCUUGAAGCAAUUUGAUAUUGAGGAUUGUCCUAUCUUGGAGAUGUAUUUCUUACCAACCAAUAUUGAUGCAAAGCAUGACAACCUCAAUAACGUAAAAGAUGUUGGUUUUCAAAGUUUCCAAGAAAACAACUCAAGGUCUUCAAGUUGGUCCUCUAGAAAUGAUACCUAAAUUUAUUCAUCAAGUAAACCCAAGUAAUAAAAAUAGUAAGGAAGCACCAGUAACACGAGAAAUGCAUGAUCAUAUACCUUCAAUUUUUGAAAUGAAGAUCUAUGCAUAGUAAAAUGUGACUUGCUGGAUGUAUUAUUUUUUCUUGAAGAAAAAUGCAAUUUCACUAUUCUAUCACACAUGAAAACGAUCAAAAUUGAAAAGUGUGACAAGUUAAAGGCCAUAAUAGCUACAAGAGAAAAGAGAGAAGACAUGAUAAACUCUUCUGCUCUACUAGAAUCUCUUCACUUAAGAAAUCUGCCAAAUCUUGGGAUAAACAACAAUUCAUGGAUGAGUUUGUGGGAGAUCAUGUAAGUUUAACUUAACUUCUUUGCUCAUAGAAGAAUGUAACAAAAUCAACAUCUUGUUCUCUCAUUCAACCAUGAGUAGUCUUGAGAAUCUUCAGAAGCUAGAAGUAUGACAAUGUAAAAACAUGGAAGAAAUAAUAUCUAAUCAAGAAGACAGAGAAGCAACUAAUGAUAAAAUCAUGUUCUGCAGCAUCUACUUCUUAAAGAGCUACCCAACCUUAAGGCCUUCUUCCAAGGUCACUAUAAUCUUGAUUUUCCAUCAUUGAAAAUCAAAAAGAUUUUGGAAGUGUUUUCAAGAUGUGAUUCUGAUACACCUAGGCUUGAGGAUUUCACCAUAAAGAUUGAAUCACUCAGCAGCAACGUUUAAAUCAUUUGUAAUUAAGUCUCAUCUCUCAAAAUAUAAGUUGCCUACAAGUGGCAUCACAAGGAUUGGAGAUGUUGAAUUGGACCAAACAACAUAACGAGGGAUACUUCAUAGAAAACUCAAAAAAUAAAUAUCAAAGAAUUUCAUAAACUCUUGGUACUUGUACCUGAGAUACAUGUCAGGGUCAGGAUGUUUCCAUGGCCACAAGCCUUCCAAGUAUGUCUUAUGUUGGGAAGUAAGGCUGGGAAUCUUCUCUGCUUUUUUAUCUCAUUUUUGUAGUCAUUCAAUCCAUAUACUUGCCCUGAACAUUUGGAAGUAAGGGUUUUUUGUUUGUCUAAUAUUUCAGGGUUCAUUUUAAAUUGGCUUAAUUGCACUUUUGAACCCCUAUCUUUUUAAAAGUUGCG